CUAGGUAUUUAUAUUUUUCUAAGGGUCCUCAAGGGUUAGGGUAUGAUUUUUGGGCCAAAAAGAUACUUAAAAACUCGGGUUUUAACGUUUUGGGAACAGGCGCCGUGGCGCCCAAGUUUCUGCUCGUUUUUUCAUUCAUUGGGCACCAUGAUGCCAAUGCCACUGCUUUGCUUCUCUUCUCUUUGUUUUUCCAAGCCUAUUUUCCACUCAAAUCUUAUUCAAUACUUGCUUAUUCAUGCUCUAUUUCAUUGAUAAUCAUUUUUGCUCAUCACCGGCUCCCAAUAGUGGUAUUUUCUCGAGAGUUGUCCAAACUGCAAAACAACACUAACACACACAUCAAAACGUUCAAAAAUGCUCAAGAACACAUCAAAAAAACGUGAUUUAGA
rnacentral:lncRNA from 1 species